UGCCAAUGGAGUGAGUUAGUGAGAUCUUGGAGAUUUCUUCUUCAAUCUUGGAGAAUGACUAUUACUGAAAAUGAACAUUUCUCCGUCUCAUCAUUUCACUCUAUUAAUUCAGGUAUAUAAUGUGCAAAAGUGCCAUGUGACUCAAAAUAUUGAGGUAACAUGGUUAAUUAGAUUGACCAUGAGUUUGGUGAUGUUUGAAGGCAAUUGAAGGGAGUUUUCACAGAGUGAAAAACUGGUUGGUAUUUUUCCCAUUGUAAGUAAAUGGGGUUUGCGAAAUUGCUAAUGGUUCACAUGUAAGAGAAAGGAUUAAGAUGGCGUCUGAACUUUCUGUACUUUUUUUUCACAAAAGUUUAUUUUCUAUGAACAAAGGCUCAGUUUACUUUAGGUAUUAUGUAAAUAUGUGAUGAGACGAUAAAAUGUGUUAGUGUCAAUAUUAGUACAAGAAUAAGAGUUUAACAGUUCGCUAGCUUGAUGCUAACCAAAUUGAGCGUGGCUAAGUGUUGGUUAGCUCUAGGCUAGUUGGUGUCAGUGAAUGUCCGCGGUUAAUAAUGUAAUGGUUGUAGCAUUGUUUUGCAUAGGCCUCCAAUAAUUUAGCGUUUGUUUUUGAAAUUGACACUUGAGUACAAUAUAUAAUGUGUAGCUGUAUGGUGACUCCAGGUUUGGAUGUACGGACCAAUGGGACUGCCACGGGUACCUGGAAUGGUGGGAGGACAAUCUGAAGGUAAUUAUCGUUGCACACAACGGUAGCGUCCAGGCCUCCAGAGUUCUCACCCUAUCGCCUGAUGUACGGACAGGAGCCACAGUUGUUUACUGAGGUAGACAAUGCAAUUGUAUAUACAAUUAUUGCAUAUACUGUAGUAUAAAAAUUGUGUGAUUGACUUAGCUCUAGUGAUUUUUUUCUAUUGCUAUUUUUGUAUAACGUACUUUGAGGUCACUGAAACUCCACCUGAUGUGAUAGAAGUUGUCAAACCAGAUCAGAACACCUUCGAGGACCACCUUCAGGCACGGGAUGAGAAGGAUGUGGAGAUUUUUGACCAGGUGAGACUGUACAUGGACAAGGCACAGGAGAAACAGAAGGAAAGCCACCAGAUGAGAAUCAAGGGGACCAAGUGCUUCGACAUCCGGGCGAAUGACUUGGCUUGA
rnacentral:lncRNA from 1 species